rnacentral:rRNA from 1 species
CCUACGGGAGGCAGCAGUGGGGAAUAUUGGGCAAUGGAGGCAACUCUGACCCAGCAACGCCGCGUGAAGGAAGAAGGCCUUAGGGUUGUAAACUUAUGUUGUAAAGGAAGAAAAGAAUGACGGUACUUUACAAGAAAGCCCCGGCUAACUAUGUGCCAGCAGCCGCGGUAAUACGGAGGAUGCGAGCGUUAUCCGGAUUUAUUGGGUUUAAAGGGUGCGUAGGCGGACUGUUAAGUCAGCGGUAAAAGCCCGGGGCUCAACCCCGGCGAGCCGUUGAAACUGGCUGUCUUGAGAUGUCGAGAGGUAUGCGGAAUGCGCAGUGUAGCGGUGAAAUGCUUAGAUAUUGCGCAGAACUCCGAUUGCGAAGGCAGCAUACCGGCGGCGAUCUGACGCUGAGGCACGAAAGCGUGGGUAUCGAACAGGAUUAGAUACCCUUGUAGUC